rnacentral:rRNA from 1 species
GACGAAGGUGGCAAGCGUUGUUCGGAAUCACUGGGCAUAAAGCGCGCGUAGGCGGCCAUGUAAGUCAGGUGUGAAAGCCCUCGGCUCAACCGGGGAACUGCGUCUGAUACUGGAUGGCUAGAGUUUGGGAGAGGGAUGCGGAAUUCCAGGUGUAGCGGUGAAAUGCGUAGAUAUCUGGAGGAACACCGGUGGCGAAGGCGGCAUCCUGGACCAACACUGACGCUGAGGAGCGAAAGCCAGGGGAGCAAACGGG